CGUGUCGCUGGCCGGAGUCGACGAGGUGAUCGGCUCGCGCCUGACCUGAAGGUCACUGCCAUCGGGAUACAGAUGUUCAAGUGAUCCCGGCGUGA
rnacentral:tRNA from 1 species